CGAUGAUCGCGCGGUUAAUCAAGAACUUCGGUUCGAGAAUUGGCUGUUGGGGGCACGCUCUGCUUCGACGAACGGUUCGGCCUGAAUCGGUUAGAAUUCAAUCGAUUUUUGAAUCGUCGUUCCCUCAUCUUGUACCGUCUAUCAGCUGUACUGUAUCGCAUUGAGGACAGUUGGCUGUGUUUUAUUAGGUUCGAUUUUCGCUCGCUAGAGAAGCUGAUUUCUCAUCUUCUAAGUGAUCUAAAUUGUGACACUUAGGACUUGGGUAUCGUCAUUCUCGACCCGUCUCUCAGCCUUAUGAUAAGCGUAAGUUUCAGUCUGUAUGAUAGAAACUUGGUGGUUCUCUGUGAUCGUUCCUAAUGAAGUUCGAGUCGGCCCUCGGUGAGAACAAGCGCGGACAAGAAUUGAGCGUCGAUUCCAUCAAUCGAUUUCGUCUUCUUCCUUUGCUCGCUUAACCCUAGCUCGGAGUAAUCGUGAAUUCCCGACUUGUCGACUCGCAGUAUGAUUCUCGAGUGAAACGGGGUUCGAUCGUGCCGAAAUUCGAAAGUGCGGGAGUUUCGUUUAAAGUAUCGCGCGUAAAAGUGCGGAAGUAUUUUUUAAUAAAAGUGCGGGUGUGCCGUUUAAAGAAUCGCGCGUGUGAAUCUACCUGAGAGGAGGAGGAGGCCUAGGAGAGGCAUCGGGCAUCGGUGAAACAGCCCUGUGAUCAACGUAGCGACCCUGACAUCCUGAGAGGAGGAGGAGGAGGCCUAGGAGAGGCAUCCUGCACCGGCGGAGCAACCCAAGGACAACGUAGCCUCAAGACCAAAUCUCCGCUGUUGCGCAUCAGUGCCGGUGAGUGAUAAACUUUAUUUUACUUUGAGAUAACGGAUUUGUAGAUGUUGUAGAUGUAAAUGUAAAUUGUAGAUAGAUUCGUUGUCUCAAAAU